GCCGGCCGCGGAACGAGGCCGGGAGGCGCGGGAGAGGACGGACCGCAGCCCGCAGGAGCGGCCGGUCAGGUUCCCAGGAACCCCACCCCCCGCAGCCGGCCAGCGCCCACCCCACACCCACCAAGCGCGAGGCCCCUGCCCUGAGGAACCCGCUUUUCAGACCCUGAGCUGUCCUGGUUUUCUCACGUGAAGGAGCAGCACUUUUCUGAAGUAGUGAAAUCCACCAGCCUUCGGGAGGGGCCGAGCCCUGAAACACUGUUACCCAGAACAGGAGUGAAAAGAUUAGCUGGGCAAUGACACUGAAAAGGGCAAAUGAUGCUUUUUCAACAUAGCAUGUUCCGUGACGCUGCCGCAAGUGGCACCAACAAACACGAUCCGGCUGGACUCAUUGCUGGCCGAGGGCGCAGGAGGCCGAGGCAUGUCCUGCCAGGCACCGGUGCCCUGGCUGUGCUGUCUGCCCCCUCCGCAUGGCGCUGAUAUCACCGUUCACCACUACUUCGUGCCCAGCGUGCGGGCGCGGUGCUCACGCCCGAUAAGCCCUGGCCCCGCAGGCUGCCUGCUCUACCACUUCUCUGGGGUAGUCACCCUCCCCAUCUUCCUUCUCCUUAGUAUUUCUUGGCAGUUCUCUGGUUUUGUUUUAUUUCUUCCAUACUCUACACAUAAACACUUUGAAAAGCAUGA